UACAGAGGUCCCGAGCGUUGUUCGGAUUCAUUGGGCGUAAAGGGUGCGCAGGCGGCGGGGUAAGUCUGAUGUGAAAUCCCGGAGCUCAACUCCGGAACUGCACUGGAUACUGCUCCGCUAGAGUACUGGAGAGGAAACUGGAAUUUACGGUGUAGCAGUGAAAUGCGUAGAGAUGUGGAGGAACACCGAUGGCGAAGGCAGCCCCCUGGGUUAACACUGACGCUCAGGCACGAAAGCGUGGGGAGCAAACAGG
rnacentral:rRNA from 1 species